rnacentral:rRNA from 1 species
UAACACGUGGGUAACCUGCCCAAGAGAUCGGGAUAACACCUGGAAACAGAUGCUAAUACCGGAUAACAACAGAUGAUGCCUAUCAACUGUUUAAAAGAUGGUUCUGCUAUCACUCUUGGACGGACCUGCGGUGAAUUAGCUAGUUGGUAGGGUAACGGCCUACCAAGGCGAUGAUGCAUAGCCGAGUUGAGAGACUGAUCGGCCACAUUGGGACUGAGACACGGCCCAAACUCCUACGGGAGGCAGCAGGG